rnacentral:rRNA from 1 species
GACGAACCGUGCGAACGUUAUUCGGAAUCACUGGGCUUAAAGCGCGUGUAGGCGGGACGGAACGUCGAUCGCUGAAAUCCCCCGGCUCAACCGGGGAAGUGGCGCCGAAACGACCGUCCUCGAGGGGCGUAGGGGGGGCUGGAACUUCCGGUGGAGCGGUGAAAUGCGUUGAGAUCGGAAGGAACGCCCGUGGCGAAAGCGAGCCCCUGGACGUCAUCUGACGCUGAGACGCGAAAGCCAGGGGAGCGAACGGG